AAAUUGAAGAGUUUGAUCAUGGCUCAGAUUGAACGCUGGCGGCAGGCCUAACACAUGCAAGUCGAACGGUAACAGGAAGCAGCUUGCUGCUUCGCUGACGAGUGGCGGACGGGUGAGUAAUGUCUGGGAAACUGCCUGAUGGAGGGGGAUAACUACUGGAAACGGUGGCUAAUACCGCAUAACGUCGCAAGACCAAAGAGGGGGACCUUCGGGCCUCUUGCCAUCAGAUGUGCCCAGAUGGGAUUAGCUUGUUGGUGAGGUAACGGCUCACCAAGGCGACGAUCCCUAGCUGGUCUGAGAGGAUGACCAGCCACACUGGAACUGAGACACGGUCCAGACUCCUACGGGAGGCAGCAGUGGGGAAUAUUGCACAAUGGGCGCAAGCCUGAUGCAGCCAUGCCGCGUGUAUGAAGAAGGCCUUCGGGUUGUAAAGUACUUUCAGCGGGGAGGAAGGUGUUGCGGUUAAUAACCGCAGCAAUUGACGUUACCCGCAGAAGAAGCACCGGCUAACUCCGUGCCAGCAGCCGCGGUAAUACGGAGGGUGCAAGCGUUAAUCGGAAUUACUGGGCGUAAAGCGCACGCAGGCGGUCUGUCAAGUCGGAUGUGAAAUCCCCGGGCUCAACCUGGGAACUGCAUUCGAAACUGGCAGGCUUGAGUCUUGUAGAGGGGGGUAGAAUUCCAGGUGUAGCGGUGAAAUGCGUAGAGAUCUGGAGGAAUACCGGUGGCGAAGGCGGCCCCCUGGACAAAGACUGACGCUCAGGUGCGAAAGCGUGGGGAGCAAACAGGAUUAG
rnacentral:rRNA from 1 species